UGGGGAAUUUUGGACAAUGGGCGCAAGCCUGAUCCAGCCAUGCCGCGUGAAGGAUGAAGUAUUUCGGUAUGUAAACUUCGAAAGAAUGGGAAGAAUAAAUGACGGUACCAUUUAUAAGCUCCGGCUAACUACGUGCCAGCAGCCGCGGUAAUACGUAGGGAGCAAGCGUUGUUCGGAUUUACUGGGCGUAAAGGGCGCGUAGGCGGCGCGGUAAGUCACUUGUGAAAUCUCUGAGCUUAACUCAGAACGGCCAAGUGAUACUGCAGUGCUAGAGUGUAGAAGGGGCAAUCGGAAUUCUUGGUGUAGCGGUGAAAUGCGUAGAUAUCAAGAGGAACACCUGAGGUGAAGACGGGUUGCUGGUCUAACACUGACGCUCAUGCACGAAAGCGUGGGGAGCAGACA
rnacentral:rRNA from 1 species